rnacentral:rRNA from 1 species
GACGUAGGGCGCGAGCGUUGUCCGGAUUUAUUGGGCGUAAAGAGCUCGUAGGCGGCUUGUCGCGUCGACCGUGAAAACUUGCGGCUCAACCCCAAGCCUGCGGUCGAUACGGGCAGGCUCGAGUUCGGUAGGGGAGACUGGAAUUCCUGGUGUAGCGGUGAAAUGCGCAGAUAUCAGGAGGAACACCGAUGGCGAAGGCAGCUCUCUGGGCCGAUACUGACGCUGAGGAGCGAAAGCGUGGGGAGCGAACAGG